rnacentral:lncRNA from 1 species
GCUAAAAUAUGCUAGUAAAUGACACCCAGGUAAAGAAGAAAUGGAGAAUGCCAUAGUCUAAUAAUUUGCCUCCUAAAAUUCACACCCUUUUUGCCAGAUGGCAGGAGUCAGAAUGACCUUUGAUGUGGAUGGUUGGCAGACACCCAGCAAGAGACCCCUCCUCGCCCCCAGAGACUUCCCCAUGGAGCUGCAUCUCCCAGCAGAGGAAAGCCCAAGGAGAUAACUCAUCCCGAGAAAUAAUGUGCGAUUGACUCCUAAGAGGAGAAUGGCUCCAGAAUCUUAUCUAAAUGUGUAGCAAAUGAAGGUAAUUUUGAAACUUAAUUCACCAACUCAUCCAUUUACUUGUUGAGUACCUACCAGGUGUUGGGCUUCUAAGCUGGUCAUUAGGUGAAGUAAUAGUGGAAGCUCUGGUGACUGAUUCAGCAUUUUGGAAGAGUGUAAAGACGAGUUUGUGAGAGAAUUUCAGCACUGUUUUGUGGGGAGGGGGGUUCCCAGCUGUCGAUAUUGAUCCUCAUGUCUGUUU